rnacentral:lncRNA from 1 species
AGAAGCAGGCAGAGGUUUAGAGGCAGCAGAACCAUGGGAGGCCAAGGUGGUAGGAUCACUUGAAGUUGGGAGUUCAAGACCAGCCUGACCAACAUGGUGAAACCUCGCCUCCACUGAAAAUACAAAAAUUAGCUGGGCAUGGUGGCAGGCACCUGUAAUCCUAGCUACUCGCUAAGACUGAGGCAGGAGAAUCGCUUGAACCCAGGAGACGGAAGUUGCAGUGAGCCGAGAUCAUGCCACUGCACUCCAGCCUGGGCAACAGGGCGAGACUCCACCUCAAAAAAAAAAAAAAUGUGUAAUUAACUGUUCCCCAUGUCAAUAAAUAUUCUCUUCU